rnacentral:rRNA from 1 species
UUAAUUGAAGAGUUUGAUCAUGGCUCAGAUUGAACGCUGGCGGCAGGCCUAACACAUGCAAGUCGAGCGGCAGCACAGAGGAACUUGUUCCUUGGGUGGCGAGCGGCGGACGGGUGAGUAAUGCCUGGGAAAUUGCCCGGUAGAGGGGGAUAACCAUUGGAAACGAUGGCUAAUACCGCAUAACCUCGUAAGAGCAAAGCAGGGGACCUUAGGGCCUUGCGCUACCGGAUAUGCCCAGGUGGGAUUAGCUAGUUGGUGAGGUA